rnacentral:rRNA from 1 species
AUUGAACGCUGGCGGCAGGCCUAACACAUGCAAGUCGAGCGGCAGCGGAAGGAAGCUUGCUUUCUUGCCGGCGAGCGGCGGACGGGUGAGUAAGGUAUGGGGAUCUGGCCGAAGGCGGGGGAUAACCACUGGAAACGGUGGCUAAUACCGCAUAAUCUCUAAGGAGCAAAGUGGGGGACCGUUCAGGCCUCACACCUUCGGAUGAACCCAUAUGAGAUUAGCUAGUAGGUGGGGUAAUGGCUCACCUAGGCGACGAUCUCUAGCUGGUCUGAGAGGAGGAUCAGCCACACUGGGACUGAGACACGGCCCAGACUCCUACGGGAGGCAGCAGUGGGGAAUAUUGCACAAUGGGCGCAAGCCUGAUGCAGCCAUGUCGCGUGUAUGAAGAAGGCCUUCGGGUUGUAAAGUACUUUCAGUCGUGAGGAAGGUGUUAAGGUUAAUAACCUUAGCAAUUGACGUUAGCGACAGAAGAAGCACCGGCUAACUCCGUGCCAGCCGCCGCCGUAA